rfam:Desulfitibacter sp. BRH_c19 BRHa_1000399, whole genome shotgun sequence.
AUGUCAGAUUCCAAAACUAAUGACUCACAAGCAGGCUAUGAAAGCGCCCUAACUGCUAUGACAGUAUCUUUAGCUGGCUGCAACUAUAUCCAUGAUGCAG